GAUGAACGCUGGCGGCGUGCCUAACACAUGCAAGUCGAACGGGUGUGGUAUCAGGGAAAAGGGGUUUACUUCUUUGACCAGAUAACACACUAGUGGCGGACGGGUGAGUAACGCGUGGAUAACCUGCCUUAUACAGGGGGAUAACAGGGAGAAAUUCUUGCUAAUACCCCAUAGGUAUGUCUGACGCAUGUUGGACAUAUUAAAGCUUUGGCGGUAUAAGAUGGGUCCGCGUCUGAUUAGCUAGUUGGUGGGGUAAAGGCCCACCAAGGCGACGAUCAGUAGCCGGCUUGAGAGAGUGGACGGCCACAUUGGGACUGAGACACGGCCCAAACUCCUACGGGAGGCAGCAGUGGGGAAUAUUGCACAAUGGGGGGAAACCCUGAUGCAGCGACGCCGCGUGAAGGAAGAAGGUCUUCGGAUCGUAAACUUCUAUCAGCAGGGAAGAAGGAAGUGACAGUACCUGAGUAAGAAGCCCCGGCUAACUACGUGCCAGCAGCCGCGGUAAAAGUC
rnacentral:rRNA from 1 species